CACGUAGGGGGCAAGCGUUAUCCGGAUUUACUGGGUGUAAAGGGGGCGCAGACGGCGAUGCAAGCCAGGAGUGAAAGCCCGGGGCCCAACCCCGGGACUGCUCUUGGAACUGCGUGGCUGGAGUGCAGGAGGGGCAGGCGGAAUUCCUGGUGUAGCGGUGAAAUGCGUAGAUAUCAGGAGGAACACCGGUGGCGAAGGCGGCCUGCUGGACUGCAACUGACGUUGAGGCCCGAAAGCGUGGGGAGCAAACAGG
rnacentral:rRNA from 1 species